CGUUGUCCAGAACAUGAAAAGCAGAGAGGAACUCAUCCCAAAUCCCGUCCCUCUCCAGUCUGAACACAUCAUUCUGCCACUCUUCAGCUGGAUUUGAGAGCACAGUGAGCCUUGUUCCAUCCAUCGUGUUACACCGUGCCCAUUGCAUAGUCAGACUCCAGAGGGACCGCAGAGAACAGAGCUAGCCAAGCAGACAGCAACAAAGGCAUGUGAUGACAUUGUAGUGGUAUUCUUUGCCGUGCGCCGUAGAUGUUACUGAAGACCCCAAAAGAACAAACAGCAUCGAAGUGCACAGUGAAUGGAGUCUGCCUUCCCAGACUGGACACAUCUGCAGUAUUUCUGUCAAAUAACUGGUUUUCUUACAGUGCAUUCUAUCCAGAUGCAUGGUCAGGUUUUGGCCAACAUAAGCAAUAACAAUACCCAUAGGCAAUCAAAAGAAUUAGAGAAUAAAAGGACCUAUCAGAUCAUCUACUCCCUGCAGCUGGCAGUGAAGAACAGUUUCACACUGAAUCCAAUAAGUAUGUGGUUUGUGCCAGCUUUCAUUGUAGGCAUUACCCUUGCCUGGUUGAGCUUCACCCCGUAUGCAGGGCGAUAUUGGAGGUGGCGUUCUGCUGGGGUGAGCCUGCACGUGCCUGUUCUGGAUGGGCAAAAUUCCAACCUUUUUUCCUCACUCCUGGAACUUUCCACUUAUUUACUUCUUCUUCACACUUUCUUUCAUUUUU
rnacentral:lncRNA from 1 species